rnacentral:lncRNA from 1 species
AGCCUGAAGGUGAAGACAGAAGGCUCGAGCUUCGAAGACCCAGACCAGAAUUCUCCCUUCUCCUUCUCUUCGACCCCGAUGAGCACUUUGUGUACGCCCCCAACCCCAGAGAACAAGUUCAUGGGCAGCUUCUCGGCUGCGUUCCCCUCGCCUGCAACCUCGGAAUCAAAGCACUUCUCGCCAUCACCAUGCCGGGUGAGCAGCUUCGGAGACGCUCCACCUCUGCAUAUAACAGAGUCCGACCUCAGUGACUUCAUCUCUGCCACGACCUCAGCAGCCACCUCCUCCGCCAUGGACAUCGCCUUCAUGCUCGACUCAGUGGGGUUCGACCCAGCUUUCCAUUUCGAUGCUUCGAGCUUCCUCCAUAACCUGUGACCGACAGAGAAGCAGAGCAGUACGUGAAGCCCC